rnacentral:rRNA from 1 species
AGUAGUUUGAUCCGUGGCUCGAGGACACGCUGGCGGCGUGCUUAACACAUGCAAGUCGAACGGGGAUAUGUUUGAUGAGAGCUUCGGCAGGAAUCGGAUAUAUUCUAGUGGCGGACGGGUGAGUAACGCGUGAGCAACCUGUCCCAGACAGGGGGAUAACACUUGGAAACAGGUGCUAAUACCGCAUAAGACCACGGGAUCACAUGGUUCUGGGGUAAAAGGAGCAAUCCGGUUUGGGGUGGGCUCGCGUCCGAUUAGCCAGUUGGCGGGGUAACGGCCCACCAAAGCGACGAUCGGUAGCCGACCUGAGAGGGUGAUCGGCCACAUUGGAACUGAGAGACGGUCCAAACUCC